rnacentral:misc_RNA from 1 species
CUCGCCGGUGCGCCGACGGGUGGCCGGGCCACCCCGCGGCUCGGGGCGCCCCACGGGGAAAGCCGGUGGCGGGGCCGCCACGGGCAACCCCCCCCCAGGGGAACGCAAACAAAAGAAAAGGGGCGGGCGAGAAAGACAGGAAAAGAAAAACGCGCCACAGAGAGCCACCAAGGCAGCGAGCCACCCCAAAGGCGAAAAAAGGAGGGGCGCUCCUUUCGCGCGCCCUGGAGCAGGCCAUCCCCGCCCCCUGGCGCAAGAAAAACCAGCGCGGGCCGGCGCAAACUACCCCCGCCACGAAAAGCCGAAAACCGCCAAGCCCGCGCGGCCCCCACCCCCCAACGCAAGCACCCCGCCGCGCGAAAAGCAAGCACCCACGAACCCCAGAGAAACCGCGAACACCCCCGCCGCCAAACAGCAGCCGAACACGACAUCACCCCACCAAAGCCCCCAAAGACCGCCGAAGACCCCCGCCACCAGCACCAAACGGCACCCGGCCACGCUGGCCGCCCCCGCGCUGGGCUCCUACGCCGAAAGCCCAAAAGGCCCCGACAGCGCCCGCCGACCAAACCCCCUUCAUCCGCAGAGCGCCCCUUUCCUAGAGCGCACGCCUUUUUCUUCACCGGAAAUCCCCUAUCCAGCAGAAAAAAGGCGGCUCUGCUGCCCCCGAAACGCGGCCAUUCCAAAAGCCCCCCUUUUACGCCGGACCACCCCUCGUGUCGCCAGGGUCAGGCACCUACGACGUAGCGAAGUCAGAGCGAUUUAUCGCUACGGGUGUCGGCGGUCAUGUCCUGGAUGGCGCUGCGUGGGGGAGGCCUGCAGCCGUGAACGUGUUUGUGCGAACCAUAUGAUGGGCAGUAUGCCGCCCUGACCCGAACGUAUCUCACCCGGCCCUCACCGCGCCCUGGCUCGGGGAGCCCGAGGCGCCCCGAGGGAUGCGCGACGUGGCGACCGGGCACAAGGCGAGCGGCCGUGAGGCGCCCUUGCGGGGCGGGGAGGGCGGGUAGAGGGUCUGGGGCGGAGGCCGCGCUUCGCUGACUGGGUCGGCGCAUUUCUGCAGCGGCGCGUGUCUACGGCUGCUUGGCG